rnacentral:rRNA from 1 species
CGGUAAUACGUAGGGUGCAAGCGUUAUCCGGAAUUAUUGGGCGUAAAGGGCUCGUAGGCGGUUCGUCGCGUCCGGUGUGAAAGUCCAUCGCUUAACGGUGGAUCUGCGCCGGGUACGGGCGGGCUGGAGUGCGGUAGGGGAGACUGGAAUUCCCGGUGUAACGGUGGAAUGUGUAGAUAUCGGGAAGAACACCAAUGGCGAAGGCAGGUCUCUGGGCCGUUACUGACGCUGAGGAGCGAAAGCGUGGGGAGCGAACAGGAUUAGAUACCCUGGUAGUCCACGCCGUAAACGGUGGAUGCUGGAUGUGGGGCCCGUUCCACGGGUUCCGUGUCGGAGCUAACGCGUUAAGCAUCCCGCCUGGGGAGUACGGCCGCAAGGCUAAAACUCAAAGGAAUUGACGGGGGCCCGCACAAGCGGCGGAGCAUGCGGAUUAAUUCGAUGCAACGCGAAGAACCUUACCUGGGCUUGACAUGUUCCCGACAGCCGUAGAGAUAUGGCCUCCCUUCGGGGCGGGUUCACAGGUGGUGCAUGGUCGUCGUCAGCUCGUGUCGUGAGAUGUUGGGUUAAGUCCCGCAACGAGCGCAACCCUCGCCCUGUGUUGCCAGCACGUCAUGGUGGGAACUCACGGGGGACCGCCGGGGUCAACUCGGAGGAAGGUGGGGAUGACGUCAGAUCAUCAUGCCCCUUACGUCCAGGGCUUCACGCAUGCUACAAUGGCCGGUACAACGGGAUGCGACACGGCGACGUGGAGCGGAUCCCUGAAAACCGGUCUCAGUUCGGAUUGGAGUCUGCAACCCGACUCCAUGAAGGCGGAGUCGCUAGUAAUCGCGGAUCAGCAACGCCGCGGUGAAUGCGUUCCCGGGCCUUGUACACACCGCCCGUCAAGUCAUGAAAGUGGGUAGCACCCGAAGCCGGUGGCCUAACCCUUUGUGGAUGGAGCCGUCUAAGGUGAGACUCGUGAUUGGGACUAAGUCGUAACAAGGUAGCCGUACCGGAAGGUGCGGCUG